ACACUGGGAAAGACGCUCUUAUCUGCGCCCUCCAAACCACACGCCCCUCGCAGUUGAAAUAAGGGGGUGGCGGCAAAAGGAGGUGGGGGACAGGACCGCCUGGAGGAGAAGGAAGAAGCGCAGGGACACCAGCCAACCCACCCGCCUCCAAUCCGCCAGGUCCUUCUAGGAGCGAGGAACCGAAAGCAGAGCCGAGAACGCGCCUCGUUAGAGGAGAGGGCCCUCCGAGGCGCAAAGGGAGAGGGAGGCGAGAGGCACCGCGGGCUCCAAAACAGGCCGCUAUGGAGGGGAGACGCGGGGAUCAACACAACUUUAAUGAUGGGGAAAAAUGGAGCUGAAGUCUGGAACUGAAAUAAAGAGCUAUUACUCAUCUUUAGGAUAUGACUGUCAAAUGCCCAAAAGAACAAGGGUUCCUGAGGAGGCAGGGGCAAGAUUUGCUGAUGUUUGGGUGCCAAGACCAUUUUGAAUCAAGAUGGACCAAAACAUGACUUUGGCAAAACUUCAUAACAUUGGCUUGACGGGUCCAAACUCACGUAUUACACCAUCCAUUUAUAAAUCACAAUUUAUUUUUGCUUUUUAAGAAUUCCCUGGCAGCAUCAGGCACUCCCCACUUGUGUACCAUAUAUUUUGGAAAGCCGUUUGUUCUCUGGUCUGUCCACUCUGUGGGUCCCGAUGCCAGUUAUCAUCGCCAAACUCAGCAGGAGGGUUCCCGAGGUCGUGGCGGCAGUCGAUACUGGUAUGGCAGACACCAUUUUGAAUCAAGAUGGAAGACUGAAACGUCACUAUGGGGUGACUUCACUCAUUUUUGGCAAAAGGCUUGUGCACCUCUCACUGUAUCACCACCACUCAACACGAGUGUCCCCAAAGUGGAGGCAGUGCUCUUCAUCAAAGUUUGCAUGCAGGGUGCCAUUUUGAAUAAACAUGGCGGACCAAAACAUGACUUUGGUGUGACUUCACCCAAUUUGGUGUGACAGGCCCAAACUGCAGUAGGAAAGAGCUUGCCAAGGCUUUGGGUUGACUGGCUUCAAGUAUUACAGCCGAAAGCUUGUUAAAAUUGUUCAUGUAGUUUGUUUGCUAAAAGCAGAGAAUUUUUAAAAAUUAUUUUUUUGUACACUGUUUGGUAUUUCUAAUAUAUAGCAAUUAAUAAAGUCUGUAAAUAAUAAA